UCUUGGUCAUUUAGAGGAAGUAAAAGUCGUAACAAGGUCUCCGUAGGUGAACCUGCGGAGGGAUCAUUACCGAGUGAGGGCCUCCGGGUCCGACCUCUCCACCCAUUGCUGUAUCUCCACCUUACAAUUGUUGCCUCGGGGGCCCCCGGCGAGAGCCGACCCCCAGGCGCCCAAACAAAAAUAACCUCUGCAUCCCAGUCUUAGUCUGAGUUACAUUUAUGAAUUUAAAUAAAACUUUCAACAACGGAUCUCUUGGUUCUGGCAACGAUGAAGAACACAGCGAAAUGUGAUAAGUGAUGUGAAUUGCAGAAUUCCGUGAAUCAUCGAAUCUUUGAACGCACAUUGCGCCCCUCGGUAUUCCGGGGGGCAUGCCUGUCCGAGCGUCAUUACACCACUCAAGCCUGGCUUGGUCUUGGGCGCCGCGGUCUCCCGCGCGCCUCAAUGUCGUCGGCCGAUGCGUCCGUCUCCGAGCGUUGUGAUUUAUCAAACCGCUCGCGGGGUCGGGGGCCUCGCGCCGGGAAACCCACAUUUUUACAGGUUGACCUCGGAUCAGGUAGGGAUACCCGCUGAACUUAAGCAUAUCAAUAAGCGGAGGAA
rnacentral:rRNA from 1 species